AGAACGAACGCUGGCGGCAUGCCUAACACAUGCAAGUCGAACGAGACCUUCGGGUCUAGUGGCGCACGGGUGCGUAACGCGUGGGAAUCUGCCCAAAGGUUCGGAAUAACUCAGGGAAACUUGAGCUAAUACCGGAUGAUGUCGCAAGACCAAAGAUUUAUUGCCUUUGGAUGAGCCCGCGUAGGAUUAGCUUGUUGGUGAGGUAAAGGCUCACCAAGGCUACGAUCCUUAGCUGGUCUGAGAGGAUGAUCAGCCACACUGGGACUGAGACACGGCCCAGACUCCUACGGGAGGCAGCAGUGGGGAAUAUUGGACAAUGGGCGAAAGCCUGAUCCAGCAAUGCCGCGUGAGUGAUGAAGGCCCUAGGGUUGUAAAGCUCUUUUACCCGGGAAGAUAAUGACUGUACGGGAGAAUAAGCCCGGCUAACUCCGCGCCAGCAGCCGC
rnacentral:rRNA from 1 species